rnacentral:misc_RNA from 1 species
GAUGAAGAACGUAGCGAAAUGCGAUAAGUAGUGUGAAUUGCAGAAUUCAGUGAAUCAUCGAAUCUUUGAACGCACAUUGCGCCCCUUGGUAUUCCAUGGGGCAUGCCUGUUCGAGCGUCAUUUGUACCUUCAAGCUUUGCUUGGUGUUGGGUGUUUGUCCUGAGGGACUCGCCUUAAAGUAAUUGGCAGCCGGCAUAUUGGCCUUGGAGCGCAGCACAUUUUGCGCUUCUAGUCAUGAAUGUUGGCGUCCAUUAAGCCUAUACAUUUGCUCUUGACCUCGGAUCAGGUAGGGAUACCCGCUGAACUUAAGCAUAUCAAUAAGCGGAGGA